UUGCAUGCUGUGUUUUGAAAGGAAAGAUACUUGUUGCAGGUGGUUUCACCAGCUGCCGAAAAUCAAUAUCUCAAGCAGAAAUGUAUGAUCCAGAGAAAGAUGUGUGGAUCCCAAUACCAGAUCUCCAUCGCAGUCACAAUUCAGCAUGCUCUGGACUAGUUAUUGGGGGAAAGGUGCACAUCUUGCACAAGGGCUUAUCGACAGUGCAAGUAUUGGACAAUGCAGGGUCUGGAUGGAUGGUUGAGGAUUACGGUUGGCUCCAAGGUCCAAUGGCAGUUGUUCAUGGGGCCUUGUAUGUGAUGAGCCAUGGACUAAUUUGCAAGCAGGAAGGAAAAAGAAGGAAAGUAGUGGUUUCAGCAUCUGAGUUCCGGAGAAGGAUUGGAUUUGCAAUGACUGGGCUGGGAGAUGACAUAUAUGUGAUUGGAGGGGUGAUAGGUCCUGAUCGAUGGAAUUGGUAUAUCAAGCCAAUGUCUGAUGUUGAUAUCUUGACAGUUGGGGGUGAGAGACCGACUUGGCGACAGGCUGCUCCUAUGACACGGUGCCGUGGUGCAAUUCUUGGAUGUACGCAGCUGCGAAUAUAGGUCUGAAGAUGUUAUGUUUUGUGGUGAAAGUUAUGUUCUUGUCAAGGCAUUAAUUUCCCUCCUAUUUGGAGACGAGGAAUGUAACUUUUUCUCUUUGGCUUUUGAGUCGUCAUCCUUGCCUUCGACUUCUGUCAAAGUGGUCAAUGUUA
rnacentral:misc_RNA from 1 species